rnacentral:rRNA from 1 species
UCCGUAGGUGAACCUGCGGAAGGAUCAUAAUUG